CCUACGGGGGGCAGCAGUGGGGAAUAUUGGACAAUGGGGGGAACCCUGAUCCAGCCAUGCCGCGUGUGUGAAGAAGGCCCUCGGGUUGUAAAGCACUUUCAGUGAGGAAGAACGCCUGGUGGUUAAUACCCAUCAGGAAAGACAUCACUCACAGAAGAAGCACCGACUAACUCCGUGCCAGCAGCCGCGGUAAUACGGAGGGUGCGAGCGUUAAUCGGAAUUACUGGGCGUAAAGCGCGCGUAGGUGGCUUGAUAAGCCGGUUGUGAAAGCCCCGGGCUCAACCUGGGAACGGCAUCCGGAACUGUCAAGCUAGAGUGCAGGAGAGGAAGGUAGAAUUCCCGGUGUAGCGGUGAAAUGCGUAGAGAUCGGGAGGAAUACCAGUGGCGAAGGCGGCCUUCUGGACUGACACUGACACUGAGGUGCGAAAGCGUGGGUAGCAAACAGGAUUAGAUACCCGAGUAGUC
rnacentral:rRNA from 1 species